GGGCCCGUAGCUCAGCCAGGAUAGAGCACCGGCCUCCGGAGCCGGUGGUCCCGGGUUCAAAUCCCGGCGGGCCCGCCA
rnacentral:tRNA from 1 species